AAAUGAUAUCAUAGAAAAUGUUAAAUUAAAAUGCUAUGUUGGAUGGAUUUUGAUUCCACGCAGUGUUCAAAUUUUAUCUAUGAAUUUCGAAACUUCAGGAAGAAGAACUUUUCGCAGCUAUGAGAAAUCAUGAUUUCAGUUAUUUUUUUCAAGAGAUGAUUUGGUGAUUUGAUAAUUCAUUUUUUGGGAAAGUAAGUUGCAUUUAUGCUAUGUCACUGUAAAUGUGGAUGUAGGUUUUACAUGUUGGUUUUUUUCGUUAUACAUGUACAUUGCAUUAAUCUCCAGACAUUAAAAGGUGAUCAUCUUCUCCUGCACACUUCUUACUUGUACAUUCAUUGUAUUGUCAGUCAGUGAAAUGGAAAUAAAAUGAAUAAAUAAAUUG
rnacentral:misc_RNA from 1 species